UACGUAGGGUGCGAGCGUUGUCCGGAAUUAUUGGGCGUAAAGAGCCUGUAGGCGGUUUGUCGCGUCUGCUGUGAAAAUCCGGGGCUCAACCUCGGACUUGCAGUGGGUACGGGCAGACUAGAGUGUGGUAGGGGAGACUGGAAUUCCUGGUGUAGCGGUGAAAUGCGCAGAUAUCAGGAGGAACACCGAUGGCGAAGGCAGGUCUCUGGGCCGCUACUGACGCUGAGAAGCGAAAGCGUGGGGAGCGAACAGG
rnacentral:rRNA from 1 species